CUGUGCCGGCGGCACGCGCCCGCCAACUUCAGCCGGUUCUACUUCCCGUACCGCACGGCGCGCGGGCUGCUCUGCGUCACCAACUGCUCCCUCAACGUGCCCGGCGCCUUCGACUGCGGCCGCGGCCUCUGCCGCGUCACCCGCGACGGCCCCCGCUGCUUCUGCCCGGACGUGCCCCGGUACCUCUGGAGCGGCGACCGGUGCCAGAGCCGCGUCAGCGAGCUGGGGCUGGGGCUGGGCGUGGGGCUGGGGCUGGGGCUGCCCAUCCUCAUCCUCCUCGCGCUCUGCGCCUUCCUCGCCGCGCGCCUCGCCCGGCGGCGGGGAAAAACACCCGGGGCCAGCCCCACCAAGCCCGAUGACCCGUGGCCGGACGGGGGUCGCAGCGGCCGCGUCACCGGGAUCUAC